rnacentral:rRNA from 1 species
AAAGAAAGCGUAAUAGCUCACUGGUCGAGUCGGCCUGCGCGGAAGAUGUAACGGGGCUAAACCAUGCACCGAAGCUGCGGCAGCGACGCUGAUGCGUUGUUGGGUAGGGGAGCGUUCUGUAAGCCUGCGAAGGUGUGCUGUGAGGUAUGCUGGAGGUAUCAGAAGUGCGAAUGCUGACAUAAGUAACGAUAAAGCGGGUGAAAAGCCCGCUCGCCGGAAGACCAAGGGUUCCUGUCCAACGUUAAUCGGGGCAGGGUGAGUCGACCCCUAAGG